UGUGGUUAAAAAUAUUCAUUUUAUUUUGUUUGUUACAUUACAUCAUAUUACAAAUAUCAUUACACAUCAUCACACAUACAGUUAUACGUUUUUAACAUUCUCUUGUUUUUACAAUCAUUCCAUUGUACACUAUGUUCAAGUUGUCACAACAUCAAGCAGUGGUCCUUAAACUAGGGGUCAGGACAAGUGUGUGUGUGUGUGGGGGGGGGGUAUAAUGCAUAAAAGAAUUAAAGGGACUGAGGUCUAAUCUCAAUCUCUACCUGCACUAUCUGAGACUCUAUUUCCAGGGGACCACAGACCUCUUCAGGUUUGUGAGACCUGCACAAAUGGUGAUAAUGUCAUCCAGCAUAUCAACCUGGCUUAUAGGUAUGACACUGUUCAAUAUAUGAAAAUUCUUUAGCUGACCAAUGACACGUUCUACGUGUAUACGAACUCUUGAUCUGUCUGUC